CCUACGGGAGGCAGCAGUGGGGAAUAUUGCACAAUGGGCGCAAGCCUGAUGCAGCGACGCCGCGUGAGGGAUGACGGCCUUCGGGUUGUAAACCUCUUUCAGUAGGGAAGAAGCGAAAGUGACGGUACCUGCAGAAGAAGCGCCGGCUAACUACGUGCCAGCAGCCGCGGUAAUACGUAGGGCGCAAGCGUUAUCCGGAAUUAUUGGGCGUAAAGAGCUCGUAGGCGGUUUGUCGCGUCUGCCGUGAAAGUCCGGGGCUCAACUCCGGAUCUGCGGUGGGUACGGGCAGACUAGAGUGAUGUAGGGGAGACUGGAAUUCCUGGUGUAGCGGUGAAAUGCGCAGAUAUCAGGAGGAACACCGAUGGCGAAGGCAGGUCUCUGGGCAUUAACUGACGCUGAGGAGCGAAAGCAUGGGGAGCGAACAGGAUUAGAUACCCUGGUAGUCCAUGCCGUAAACGUUGGGCACUAGGUNUGGGGGACAUCCACGUUUCCGCGCGUAGCUACGCAUAGUGCCCGCGNGGGAGGUACGGCCGGCGAGGAACGUAAACGUACGAAUUAGUAGUUAGUUACGGCGUUGAGACGNGCCGACGGACGACGACGAGGGAGGAGG
rnacentral:rRNA from 1 species